GAUGAACGCUGGCGGCGUGCCUAAUACAUGCAAGUCGAGCGAACAGACGAGGAGCUUGCUCCUCUGACGUUAGCGGCGGACGGGUGAGUAACACGUGGAUAACCUACCUAUAAGACUGGGAUAACUUCGGGAAACCGGAGCUAAUACCGGAUAACAUGUUGAACCGCAUGGUUCAACAGUGAAAGACGGUCUUGCUGUCACUUAUAGAUGGAUCCGCGCCGCAUUAGCUAGUUGGUAAGGUAACGGCUUACCAAGGCAACGAUGCGUAGCCGACCUGAGAGGGUGAUCGGCCACACUGGAACUGAGACACGGUCCAGACUCAUACGGGAGGCAGCAGUAGGGAAUCUUCAGCAAUGGGCGAAAGACUGACGGAGCAACGCCGAGUGAGUGAAGAAGGUCUUCGGAUCGUAAAACUCUGUUAUUAGGGAAGAACAAAUGUGUAAGUAACUAUGCACGUCUUGACGGUACCUAAUCAGAAAGCCACGGCUAACUACGUG
rnacentral:rRNA from 1 species